ensembl:miRNA MIR12215 microRNA mir-12215
GGCGGCGGAGGGAGGAGGAGGCGGUGGCUGCGCCAUGAGUUUUCUCAAGCGGUUCCCGCCGCCGG